rnacentral:rRNA from 1 species
UACGGGGGGGGCAAGCGUUGUUCGGAAUUACUGGGCGUAAAGGGCUCGUAGGUGGCCAACUAAGUCGGACGUGAAAUCCCUCGGCUUAACCGGGGAACUGCGUCCGAUACUGGUUGGCUUGAGUUUGGGAGAGGGAUGCGGAAUUCCAGGUGUAGCGGUGAAAUUCGUAGAUAUCGGGAGGAACACCAGUGGCGAAGGCGGCUAUCUGGACGUCAACUGACGCUGAGGCGCGAAAGCGUGGGGAGCAAACAGG